GACGAACGCUGGCGGCGUGCCUAAUACAUGCAAGUUGAGCGCUGAAGGUUGGUACUUGUACCGACUGGAUGAGCAGCGAACGGGUGAGUAACGCGUGGGGAAUCUGCCUUUGAGCGGGGGACAACAUUUGGAAACGAAUGCUAAUACCGCAUAAAAACUUUAAACACAAGUUUUAAGUUUGAAAGAUGCAAUUGCAUCACUCAAAGAUGAUCCCGCGUUGUAUUAGCUAGUUGGUGAGGUAAAGGCUCACCAAGGCGAUGAUACAUAGCCGACCUGAGAGGGUGAUCGGCCACAUUGGGACUGAGACACGGCCCAAACUCCUACGGGAGGCAGCAGUAGGGAAUCUUCGGCAAUGGACGAAAGUCUGACCGAGCAACGCCGCGUGAGUGAAGAAGGUUUUCGGAUCGUAAAACUCUGUUGGUAGAGAAGAACGUUGGUGAGAGUGGAAAGCUCAUCAGGUGACGGUAACUACCCAGAAAGGGACGGCUAACUACGUG
rnacentral:rRNA from 1 species